rnacentral:rRNA from 1 species
GACGAACGCUGGCGGCGUGCUUAACACAUGCAAGUCGAACGGAAAGGCCCUGCUUGCAGGGUACUCGAGUGGCGAACGGGUGAGUAACACGUGGGUGAUCUGCCCUGCACUUCGGGAUAAGCCUGGGAAACUGGGUCUAAUACCGGAUAGGAGCCAUUUUUAGUGUGAUGGUUGGAAAGUUUUUUCGGUGUAGGAUGAGCUCGCGGCCUAUCAGCUUGUUGGUGGGGUAAUGGCCUACCAAGGCGGCGACGGGUAGCCGGCCUGAGAGGGUGGACGGCCACAUUGGGUCUGAGAUACGGCCCAGACUCCUACGGGAGGCAGCAGUGGGGAAUAUUGCACAAGGGGCGCAAGCCGGAUGCAGCGGCGCCGCGUGGGGGAUGACGGCCUUCGGGUUGUAGACUCCUUGCGCUAGGGACGAAGCUUUUUGUGACGGUACCUAGAUAAGAAGCACCGGCUAACUACGUG